rnacentral:tRNA from 1 species
GCCUGGGUGGCUCAGUCGGUUAAGCGUCCGACUUCGGCUCAGGUCAUGAUCUCACAGUCUGUGGGUUCAAGCCCCACAUCGGGCU